GAACACAGCGUGGACAUGAGGGCCCUCACUCAGCUCCUGGGGCUCCUGCUGCUCUGGAUUCCAAGUACCAGAUGUGACAUCCAGAUGACCCAGUCUCCAUCCACUCUGUCUGCAUCUCCUGGAGACACAGUCACCAUCAAAUGUCAGGCCAGUCAGUAUAUUAGCAAUGAGUUAAACUGGUACCAAAAGAAACCAGGGAAAGCACCUAAACUCCUGAUCUAUGGUGCAAACAGGUUACAAUUUGGAAUCCCCUCUAGAUUUAGUGGCAGUGGACUUGGAACAGAGUUCACUCUUACCAUCAGCAGCCUGCAGCCUGAAGACAUUGCCACUUAUUACUGUCAACAGCAUUAUGAUAACCCACCCACAGUGAUACAAGCCAUAACAUAAACCUCCAAGAAGCAGAAGUGUGAGGCUGGGCUGCCCCAGCUACUUUCCUCAUGUUUCCACUUGCAGGAUCUGUCCUAGAAACGUAAGAUAGGAAUUCUGCCCAUGCUUACCUGGAACAGCAGUUCUCAAGGUCUGAAAUUUUUGAGUAAAUGUGAUUGUAGGCUUCAGCUAUUGGUGCUGGGCUGGAAAUUGAAAUACUAAAGUAAGUCCAAACUAUAGCUAUGGAAAUACCUUAUAUUUAUUUGUCUUUUAAUUAUGAACAGCUAUUCAAAAGAUGGGCAAAGGCACUAUUACGUUAUUAUUUAAUAUAU